ACGGGUGAGUAAUACAUCGGAACGUGUCCUGUAGUGGGGGAUAGCCCGGCGAAAGCCGGAUUAAUACCGCAUACGAUCUGUGGAUGAAAGCGGGGGAUCCUUCGGGACCUCGCGCUACAGGGGCGGCCGAUGGCAGAUUAGCUAGUUGGUGGGGUAAAGGCCUACCAAGGCGACGAUCUGUAGCUGGUCUGAGAGGACGACCAGCCACACUGGGACUGAGACACGGCCCAGACUCCUACGGGAGGCAGCAGUGGGGAAUUUUGGACAAUGGGCGAAAGCCUGAUCCAGCAAUGCCGCGUGUGUGAAGAAGGCCUUCGGGUUGUAAAGCACUUUUGUCCGGAAAGAAAACCUCGUGGUUAAUACCCGUGGGGGAUGACGGUACCGGAAGAAUAAGCACCGGCUAACUACGUGCCAGCAGCCGCGGUAAUACGUAGGGUGCAAGCGUUAAUCGGAAUUACUGGGCGUAAAGCGUGCGCAGGCGGUCCGCUAAGACAGAUGUGAAAUCCCCGGGCUUAACCUGGGAACUGCAUUUGUGACUGGCGGGCUAGAGUAUGGCAGAGGGGGGUAGAAUUCCACGUGUAGCAGUG
rnacentral:rRNA from 1 species